rnacentral:rRNA from 1 species
GGUCUUGACAUCCACAGAACUUUCCAGAGAUGGAUUGGUGCCUUCGGGAACUGUGAGACAGGUGCUGCAUGGCUGUCGUCAGCUCGUGUUGUGAAAUGUUGGGUUAAGUCCCGCAACGAGCGCAACCCUUAUCCUUUGUUGCCAGCGGUUAGGCCGGGAACUCAAAGGAGACUGCCAGUGAUAAACUGGAGGAAGGUGGGGAUGACGUCAAGUCAUCAUGGCCCUUACGACCAGGGCUACACACGUGCUACAAUGGCAUAUACAAAGAGAAGCGACCUCGCGAGAGCAAGCGGACCUCAUAAAGUUUUCGUAGUCCGGAUUGGAGUCUGCAACUCGACUCCAUGAAGUCGGAAUCGCUAGUAAUCGUA